rnacentral:tRNA from 1 species
GGGUCGUUAGCUCAGCCGGUAGAGCAGCGGACUUUUAAUCCGUUGGUCGUAGGUUCGAUCCCUACACGACCCACUA